GCAUAAUCAUGGCUCACUGUAACCUCAAACCCCUGGGCUUAAGCGAUCCUCCUGCCCUAGCCUCUUGAGUAGUUGGGAAGCCACCACAUCUAGCUAAUUUUUAAAUUUUUUUUUUUUUUUUUUUUUUGAGACGGAGUCUUGCUCUGUCGCCCGAGCUGGAGUGCAGUGGCCAGAUCUCAGCUCACUGCAAGCUCCGCCUCCCGGGUUUACGCCAUUCUCCUGCCUCAGCCUCCGGAGUAGCUGGGACUACAGGCGCCCGCCACCUCGCCCGGCUAGUUUUUUGUAUUUUUAGUAGAGACGGGGUUUCACCGUGUUAGCCAGGAUGGUCUCGAACUCCUGACCUCGUGAUCCGCCCGUCUCGGCCUCCCAAAGUGCUGGGAUUACAGGCUUGAGCCACCGCGCCCGGCGCUAAUUUUUAAAUUUUUAUAGGGAUAGGGGUCUUGCCAUGUUGCCCAGGCUGAUCUUGAACUCCUGGGCUCAAACGAUCCUCUCACCUUGGCCUCCCAAAGCAUUGGGAUUGCAGGUGUGAGCCACUGUGCUCAGCCUGAGUUUCAUUUUUAAAGGUGUCCCUGGCCGCCCUGUGGAGAAUGGACUAUAGGAGGCAAGGCAGGGAGAGGGUGGCCAGCGAGGAGGCUGCUGCACAAGUCCGAGCAAGAGACGAUGGCGCUCAGAUGAGGACGGGCAGUGGCAAUUGAGAAGAGUGGAUGGAUUUGGAAUGAAUUAACUGGAGGAUGUUGCCUCCUAACGUUGGCCCUGGGGUGGCCGUGGGCUGCUUCCUAUGCCUGCUAUGUUUCCUCCCUCACCUCUCCUGCUCCUUCCACUUAGGUGUGUCAAAUGUGUCAACAAAUACUCCACUCCCGAAGCCCUGGAGCACCACCUGCAGACCGCCACUCACAACUUCCCCUGCCCACACUGCCAGAAGGUGUUUCCUUGUGAACGCUACCUGCGGCGUCAUCUGCCCACCCACGGCAGUGGGGGCAGGUUCAAGUGCCAGGUGUGCAAGAAGUUCUUCCGGCGGGAGCAUUACCUCAAACUGCAUGCUCACAUCCACUCAGGUGGGUACCCUGCCCCUGAGAACUCCAGCCCAGCCCCUCCCCUCCUCCUCACCCUCUCCUCAUCCCUUUCUCUCUCUUCCCAUCCCCAUCUGGCUGUUCUCCCUGUCUCUGUCGGCGCCUUUUCCCUCUGCUUCCCCAUCUCCCUCCCCAUCUCACUCAGCCCCUCUCCCCUCCACCUCCCUAUCUCCCUCCAGCCCCUCUCCCUGCAUCUCCCUCUAGCCCCUUUCCCCUCCCCAUCUCUCUCCCAUCUCACUCAGUCCCU
rnacentral:lncRNA from 1 species